GCCGCUUCUCCCUCCGCCCCUUUUCGUUUUCGCCGUCCUCUUGUGGAGGCGGUUUAGGGUUUUCCAAGGGGGGGUCCAGCCCGCCGCCGCCGCCGCCGGCGGUGCGCUGGCCGGCCGCCGCCGCAGCCGCAGCCCUACUCCGACCGCUCCGAUUCCCGCCGCGAUUCCUUCUCUUCGCUCCGGCCUUGCGCUGGAUUUCGGCGUGGUGGUUCCCCUGCUUGGAGUGUCGCACGGCACCCUCGCUCUCUCUCCGCGCACCCCAUCCCCAGACCCAGAUCUCGUCCUUCGUAUGCAGGCUCAUGUGUUGCUGGCCAUGGAGGUUGAAUGCUCCUCCUCGCUCACCUCUCCGUAGCGAAUCUGGUUUUCCUGGUGGCAGCGGCCUAAUGCUCAAGGUGGAUAUGGAUGACGGUGGUCCGGCACUCCGUCUCUUCCCACAACACCUUCCCGGCGGCCCCUUGCUCCGGUGUUCGGCUUGCCUGUCCAAUGUUCGGUCUCCCCCUCCCCCUCUCCCACUAGCAGACUAAGAUAUAUCUUAAUUCUCUCCUUUCUUACAAAUUAGUUUGAGAUGAUUCUUACAAAUUAGUUUGGGAUGAUUUCGUAUAAACACAUGAAUCUUUCCCUUUAUAUUUUUGAGGUGUGGUCUUCCCCUUGGACGUAGCAAUCAUCCGUCAAUACCAAAUUGCUAGAUGGACUAGCUAAUGGCUUUACUGAUUAUAUCUGAUACAUAAAUAUGCUUCUGUAUGAACCUUGCUGUACAUCUCGGAACUCAAAGAGCAAGCUGAUUAAGAUAUCUUCUGAUUAAUAUGGGUUAUGCUUUGAGCUUCUAGAUGAACAUGUCAUGAACCUCUCACCUCUGUACAUCGCAUCUAAGAAUAUGCUGAGUACCAUUGGGGUAUGUGCUGAUUAUAAUCUGUAGCUUGCCAAUUCAGUUGUGCAGGUAUGUUAGAGCAUGGAGCUACCGGCUUUGUUAUCCACUGUACUGUCGUGAGGACACACUAAAUUUUGUGACACCCCUUUUGCUAAGUAAUGUUUGAGCCUCCCUUCAUGGUGUUGUUUCUACAAUCAGUGAUUAAUAUUCAUGGUGGCCUGCUGAGUACAGCAUUACCAACAUUAUACCAAUUUGACUGCCAGUAAUUUUGUACACUGAUUUUUUGUUUAAUAACCUCUUAUCCAUUUCUAGGUCUUAUUUUUACAUGGACUAUCUGGAGCACCUCAGAGUCAGUGGUGUGAAUUGAGCUGCAGAAAUGUAGUUAUGUACUUAUGUCAUAGUCAGAUUAGUGUUAUGCCUACCUAUGCAUCAGAGACAAACUAAAUAAAUUGGCUAUUUUGUACAUUGAUAAGAAAUGAUGAUUGAGGUGCAAGACAGUGCAGCAACCAUAUGCAGCUAUGCGCUUUAUUCUUA